GAAAUAUGACCGGCGUGUGUAAGCUCGUGGAGAUAAUAAACUGACUCAAAUGGAGCUUAUUUCACUGCACUGUAGCCUGGUCAGAGGGUGUUGUGAAUACUUUGAUACAAUGUUGUGGAAAACUGACUUAGAUGAGUAUUUUAAAGUAAGCUGCUCCUACUCGUACAGUGUCUUAUUCCGUGGUUUGGUAUCUUCCAUGCUCUUAUAAUUGAAGAACAUUUAGAUGGCAUUGUUAUCAAUUUCCCACCAUAAUGAUUUUUUAAAAUGAUUCAGUUGCAAUUUUUUUUAAAUUGAUUUCUCGACUGUAAAAUUUUUCCGUACUCUUGGAAAUUUACCAUAUUUGUUUGUGUUUAGCUAUGAUUAGUCAUUCUAUAGUUACGUCUAACUUUUCUCGUCAAAAAUAUUUACUAUUUUGUUCAUAGAGUUUUGUUUAUUUAUCGGCACAAAAUGUUAGAUUAGGGAACUCAUGAUGACUCAAGUUGUUUUGUUUAUGAUUUAUCUCUGAUGAGGCAGUAGAGUAAAUUGUAUCACCAUCAUGCCCGAAACAAUCACAAUGGGCUCGAUUUUUGAAUUUUGAAUAAUUUGAAACCAUAUGUAAAGAAAGGGUCAUUUCCACAUGUCGGACAUUAUAACAUAAUUUUGCAUUUAAUGCUGAGAUUCAUUCUACAUUUAUCAUUCAUCUAAAUUCAUCUACAGGAGAGGUUUUCAGUCUUUUCGGCUCGCGGAGCAUUUUUUGAAAUAAAAUUGUUGCACGGAGCACCUGUCCUUCAUCAUCACUCCGUUCGAAAUCACAAUUUUUUAUACGCUUAAAUCGACAAUAUAAUUCCUACGAAAACCGUGAAGUAAGAUUUAUGUUAGUCAAUCUUUCAUUGUUUCGAUUUUAUUUUUAAAUUUUCAUUCCAAUUUAAAAAAGAUAUGUUUUGUUGUACAAACUUUUUAAAGGUUAAAUUAUGACAAAUGCAAAGGAGGGUAAGUGACAUUUUGAGUUAAGUUGACUGCAAAAUUUUACUAUUUCCAAGCUUUCCAAUGGUAUGCUUCUAUUCUUAGAAGAUUGCUUGCUACAUUUUUAUGAAAUAAAUUUUUACAAUUUUUCUCAUUUUUUUCAAUUUGAUUUCUUUAAGACUUUUUGACACUCACAUCCCUUUGCUUCUAACCCCUUAUUUGGUUUUCAUCAAUUUUUUUGUUUAAGCUUUCAUUGAUGUGUCUGAAUGGAUUAACCACAAGUUCAGCACUUUCGCAAUUAUUCAUAAUUUAGAUGAAACUCAAACUCUUUUAAAAUUUUUCAAUUACAACAUAUUAGCCCACAUGCCGAACGUAUUUAUAAAAAUAUCCGAGGCACAUGAUAGUUCAAUAAUGAUCAAGAUUUUGACAAAUAAAGAGAACAAAACAGCUGUCUUAAAUGAAAAUUCUAUCGAUAAGUCGCAUCCAAUUACGUUACUAACCGAUUCAAUUUUCAGCGCGAUCGGUUGUUUUGUUCUUUAAAUUUAUUGUCUUGAAAAUCAUAGAUAUGAAUUACAUAACUAAAAGCGUAUUUCAAAGCAAAAAGUUGAGAAAUUUCAAGGAAUUUAUACAGAUUUUCAAAACUGUCGCGGAACACCUGCCAAGGCUUUGUGGAGCACGAUAUGAAAACCGCUGAUCUAGAAGAUUUCAACACUAUUAUUGUAAGCUCGCUAAAGUUAAACAUAUUGCUCCGCAUGACAAAUCAACUAAAAAUACUGUCCUAACGAAAAUCAUUUUUUUUACUUACGAAAAAUGAAACGGAUAUCACACCUUAACGUUUUUUUUUACCAAUGGUUCUCAAUCUUUUAGAAGUUACGAUCCUUUUCGAAGGUGUACAAUAAACCCACAUACUUCUGAAAAUGAAUGUUUUAAAAGCCGAAAUUUAUGGAAAAGAAGAAUUUGAUCAUGUUAUUAUCAAUCAAUCGGAUAUUCUCAAUAUUGCCAUGAAUAAGAACCAAACUAAAAUGUCUCAAAUCGCUACAACUCCUCAGACAAUACUACAACUCCUAUCACAACCUUUCUUAAAUAAAGGAUCUCGGAAAUAAUCUGUCAAUGAUAAUGCCAGGCACCUAACAAAAUCUAGAAAAUAACCUGUUUGGAAGAUCAGGAGAAAUCUGCCAAAGAACUAAAUAUGGAUCGACAGACAUGAUUGGCAGUAACUAUCAUGGAUCACGUCUGCAACUCUCAACAGUAUGGAGGGGUCUUCUGCCUGGUGAAUCAUUAGAAAAAAAAUUUACAAGCUCUAAAUGAUUCUCAGGUGUCCUGAGGUAUUUCUUGAGAAUUUCAUUAGAGAUCAGCGAAGAUUUUUCCAAGACGUUUUCCAAUGUUACUGUGAAGUAGAUAUUCACCAAACCAAGCAUUGUCUUUGGACAUUAAAGAUACUAAGGAUUACAACAACAUCUUUAAGAGGAUUUCGCUAAUAGAUUGACUGGAAUCAGUGGAGAAUUUUUGAAAUUCGAGAAAAUUUCGAAAAAUUUCUCAGGAUUAUCCCAGAAAAGUAGUGACAAAGUUCUCUAGAAUAAUCUGACAAGGAUUAGCCAAACAUAUGCACCUAGGAGUCGAAUUGCGCGAGUCUUUUGGGGUUAGAAAUUGUUUCGACUUUCCGGAGAAUAAAACAUAUUUGUACUUGAUACUCAUUUAAUAUUAACAGCAAUAAGCCAGUCUCUGUCCAAUUGAAACCCAACUUCAACUUCAAAGAUUUAUUGGAUUCUAGAUACUGUUGGAGGGAUUAGUUAAAAAAAAUCUGUGAGAUCACUAGAAAAAUUUAUGGACGCUGCCUAAGGAUUGGGUUUAGAUGUUGAUCCCAUAUACAGCCAUCUCUCCAUAACUCGAUAUUACGUAUCUCGAUAUUGAUUUAGAGAACCAUAGUAGAAGAAAACCAACUUCUACCUCGAUGGUCCCUUGGAGCGCAUUUGCACUGGUUUUGUGUUCUAGUACCCCACUCGAUGAUUUAUUUUAGAACUAAACAGUGCAAAGCAAGGCCAUAAAACACAAAUAAUGGUCUUCGAAGGAGCCCAUAUAAAAUUUUUUAUAGAUUAGAAAAAUUGUGUUUAAUUUUACAUAC